UACGGAGGAUCCGAGCGUUAUCCGGAUUUAUUGGGUUUAAAGGGUGCGCAGGCGGAAGAUUAAGUCGGUGGUGAAAUUUUGCAGCUCAACUGUAAAAGUGCCAUUGAUACUGGUUUUCUUGAGUGUGGAUGAAGUAGGCGGAAUUUGUGGUGUAGCGGUGAAAUGCUUAGAUAUCACGAGGAACUCCGAUUGCGCAGGCAGCUUACUAAACCACUACUGACGCUCAGGCACGAAGGCGUGGGGAUCAAACAGGAUUAGAUACCCCCGUAGU
rnacentral:rRNA from 1 species